rnacentral:rRNA from 1 species
CAAUAGCGUAUAUUAAAGUUGUUGCAGUUAAAAAGCUCGUAGUUGGAUUUCUGGUGGAAAGACUCCGCCCUCCCGCGAGUGCGCGGAGGCUCUCCACCAUCCUUCUGUUAACCCUUCUUGUCCUUUAUUGGGCAGUUGGGAGCCCAGAUAUUUUACCUUGAGAAAAUUAGAGUGUUCAGGCAGGCUCGCGCCCGGAUACAUUAGCAUGGAAUAAUGGAAUAGGACUUUUGCCUCUUCUGUUGGUCUGAGGGGUCGAAGUAAUGAUUAAUAGGGAUAGUGGGGGCAUUAGUACUUAACUGUCAGAGGUGAAAUUCUUGGAUUUGUUAAAGACUAACUUAUGCGAAAGCAUUUGCCAAGGAUGUUUUCAUUAAUCAAGAACGAAAGUUAGGGGAUCAAAGAUGAUCAGAUACCA